GUGAAUCAUCGAAUUUUUGAACGCAAAUUGCACUCUCCGGUUUUCCGGGAGAGUAUGCCUGUUUGCGGGUCUGUUUAAAAAUAAUCGAGGCUGCUGCCGUGGUGGCGCCUCGGAAAUGGGUCAUCUUCCACCCUUCCGGGUUGUAAGCGACCUAAAAUUUUUCUUACGAUUUCUACGAACGUGUCUAAGAAUUUCUUGUACCUUCCCGACCUCCAAAUCAUU
rnacentral:misc_RNA from 1 species